AACGAGGCCGACCUGCGGCUGAGUUACCUGCGGAAGGAUCAUUACCGAGUUUACAACUCCCAAACCCCUGUGAACAUACCUAUACGUUGCCUCGGCGGAUCAGCCCGCGCCCUGUAAAAAGGGACGGCCCGCCCGAGGACCCUAAACUCUGUUUUUAGUGGAACUUCUGAGUAAAACAAACAAAUAAAUCAAAACUUUCAGCAAUGGAUCU
rnacentral:misc_RNA from 1 species